AAAAAUGCUAUCUAAAAUGGAAAUGAGAGCCAUCAUGGACCAGAAACGUGGGCAGGCGUAGGAAGCUUCAGAGUUGGAAUCCAAUUCGAAACAACUUCCCAUCACGGCAGGAAAGAACCAAACGAAUGGAAAUAGAGGAAGAAACUUUGGUGAAAUCGAGCUUGGAAAACAGCUUGUUGGUGAUCGCUGCAAUCAUUAUCUGUCAAACACACCUGUGCCUAUGCAUAAUGUUAGCUUGGUGCUUUAGUGCACGCUCAUAUUCCUUCUGGCUGGAAUGGAAAUAGUAUUAACUUGAAUUGGAAUGUGUGCUCAGAGACCUGCAAGCAAUAUAGUCCUGGGCAAGUUUGGAGCCCUACUGGGCCUCAUAUCUUGUGAAAUUAUGAAGAGAUGAAACAGGAUAUUUCCCUGACCUUUUUGCAGGCAGGAACGGGAGUGCAUGGAUGCCAGCAGGGGUGAAUUCCAUGAAUUCCACCCCUCAUGGGAGGAGAAGUGCAGGUGAAAAGGUGCAGGAGCUGGGGCAAGCACCUUUGGGCACCAUCAAGAGCAAACUCCAUACUGGCCCCACGGCAGCAUCUAGGGAAGGGUGCCUGAGAUCCCAGAAGCCCCAGAAGAAGUGUUACAGUGCCCUAUUAGCUUUUCUGUCUGUGGAUGGCUUAAGUGUUAACAGCUCAUUGGAGGGUCAGUGUCACAGCCUUUUGCACCGACACUCAUGGCACCCGAGUUCUUGUCCGGCAUCCAGGAGGAAUGAGGUUGCUUGGAUGAAUUGAAGAUGGUAAAUGCAGAAGAUUUUAUUGCUGGUGAAAGUGGCUCUCAGUGGGAAGCAGAGCUGAAAAGAGGACCGUGUGGGAAGGUAAUCUUCCCCUGGAGUCCGGCCAGGGACAGACUCUUCUCUGAAGCUGUUCCACCAAGCUGUCCAUCUGAAGUCAAGCAGCUUCCCUCGGACAUCAAACUGUAGUCCCAGAUGUCCAGUUCCUUCUCCUCGCUCUGCCAGCUGAGCCUUGGGUUUUUAUGGGCAUAGGAUGGGGGCAGGGCAGGCCAUGGGUGGUUUUGGAAAAGGCAACAUUGGAGUGGGAAAACAGAGAUGUAGGUUCUCACUUUGAGUUGUGGUCCCAGGCUUUGCGGCUUGAGGGUGGGGCCCUCACUGGGGACCUGCCCUCUUCUGCCCAGAAUUUCCCUGCCUGCUGUAACUAUCAGAGAUACAUCUCAACAUGUUGAGGUGAGAAAUAAAUAAAAUAAUACAUGUGAACUCUCUAGCAUGGGGCCUGAUAAAAACCAGUUGUUACUAAAUACUAGUUUCCCUUUAUCUCUCCACUUAUGGAGUUUUUAUCUAUUCCAUUCCAUUGUCCUUUUCUAAGCCACAAAAAAAUUUUUGGUCAUGUACCACUUAUUUGCUCUUAUCCAAUAAUUUACUGAGUUUUAUUAGUUAUCUGUCUGUCUUACUUGUCCCAGUAGAUUAGGAUGGCGAUCAUGCCCAAACCUCACAGUGACGAAUAAUAGCACUAGGCACAGAGGUGAUGUUAAGUAAAUCUGUUGUGUUUCAUUUUAUAAUACACUAAAGCAAAGACAAUCUUGACUGGCAAACUGUGCAGGAUGCAGGUAACAAAAAGGAAAAUGAAAAUGGAUUCCACAAUUCCAGGGAAGUUAAGGAGAACCUGCUUAGGGAGCUUGGGGUGGAGAAGAGAGAAUGGUAUUACAGUAGGGAGAAAGGGCCCUUGAUUCAUGAUGCCCAGUUUAGAGAUACCUGUGGUUAUGCCUGUGAUCCCAAACUACAUGGUGAAUUAAAACAACUGAUUAUUUGCCCUCCCCAUUAGUUCAUUAAUUCAACAUUUAUUUAAUAUUUUCCAUUGAUAAUGUUAUAUCUUUAGCUAUAUCUUGGUAAAAUAUCUGAGCUGAGUAAUUUAAUUUUGGACAGACUAAAUAUUAUGUGAAUAAUUUUAAAGCAGUGAGUUUUGGCAUAGAUUUCUUACAUUGUAUUUUUCUAUAUGAAAUAUUAUAGGGUUUACACUAAUGUAGGUUAUCAAAUAUAUUUGUUUCUUGUACACUAAAUCAAGCAAUAAGAUUUUUAAUUGUAAAACAUGAUAAGCUACAUAAUUUUAUAGAUAGAAAAACAAUAUUUUCAAAUUUUUUAUUUGAAUAUUACUUUUGUAGGUAUAAUUGCUGAGAACCUUGGUGAAUUUUGAUAGGGCAAUAUAAAUAUAUAAUCUAUCAAGUAUAAAUAAUUUGUUCCCAUGUGCCUAUGUAGAACAGAGAUCAGCAGAGUUUGUGGGCCACAUUAUAGUUAUUAUUUUAUGCUCCUAUUUUUAAGAUAAUUUUUAAAGCAUGUCUAUCUUAAUUAUUCAGAGAUUUUUUUCUAUCCUUAUGUUUAACUUUUCUUUCAAGUUGCUUCAAGAUAAGCACUUUAAAAGCAGAGUGGUUUAUAAAAUGAAAUAAUUCCUUGAAUAUUUUUAUUUUCUUUGUCUCUUUAGUAUCCCAGAUUGCUAUGUCCUUUUAAUUUUCAAUAAGCAAAUUUCUCAGAAGCAUAAUCAUUUGAUUUAGAGAUUUACAUGAAUACAUUUAUCCUUCUAAAUAGAAUAAAAACCUUUAUUAUAUUAGUCUGAGUAUUUCUCCCAGGUAUUAAAUUUAUCUUCAACCCAGUGGUCCAGGUUCCAAGGGAUGCCUGUAAUUAGAUGUAAUUACAUGUCAUAUUCAUCAACCAGUAGUAUUUCAGGUCAUGAUUCUGCUACUCUACUCCCUAGACCUUUCCCACAUUCUCUUCCCACCUCCCUUUUUAGAGCCUCCCUUAUGAUCCCUACCAAGGAAAUGUCUCUAAAUUACAUCCUACUUCUAAAACUGUCUGGGAGCUACCUCCCAUGAGAGCCUAUAAUCAAGAGUGAUAACAGGGGGCAUGGCACUGUUUUAAUGUCCAUUUUUCCCUGAGGAACAUAUCUUUAAUUUCCAACUUUAAAUCUCUGUCUAAAACCCCCUCUAUGAAGGUAGCUGCAGUGGGCCUGGCAGUCUUGCUCUAAAGUAGCUUCCUCUGCUUUUGGACUUGAGUUAUGUCUCAGUAUGCAUGAUGUGAUUCUUCUGGUUUAUUUUUUCUUGCAGUUCCUUGGAGUGUAGCAGCCAAAAUAAGAGAAUGAGUUUUCCACAGAUGUCCGAGGCACACUUGCUGGCCUCUUUUGCUUUUUUCAGGAUUUUCUAAAAAAUAAAAAGUACAUGCUUUGGGCCCAGGCAGACUCUGGAUGGAGUGUGAGGUCCACACAGGAGUCUAUUGGAGAUUUGUUUCCAUUCUGCACUCAAUGUCCUAGAAUUCUUCAGAGGUCUCCUGCCAAGAAAGUAGGUGGGGGCAAGGACACUAGACAGCCUAGUUGUCAUUUUCCUCCUCCUUUUCUUCCACAGAUUUUGCUUUUCAUUUCUGUUUUCCAACAUUGCAAGUCUUCCCUUGUGGAUUGUUUUGAGCUCCUCAAAGGAACCAGUAAAUAAAUAGUAUAGAUAGUGGUUUGUUUGUUUGUUAACGCAGUUAGCAUCAGAUUUACAAUCCUCUUGCAUUCCUCCCCCAAGUUUUCCUUGGCAUUACUAGGCAGACCCAAAUUGGUGACUUCCCAGUAUUGCAGUGAAGGAUGGGCAGAUAGGCUGUUGCCAUGGAAACAAGGUAAUUGCUCAGAGGAUUCAUCCUGCAUGGGUAAUAUUGAACUAACUGCUGUACAGUUUCCCAUUUAUUACAAAACAUUUACAAGGAAAAUGGGAUGUGUUUCAUGAUGCUAAACUGUUUGCCUCUUUUCAAGAAGCUAAGCAAAUGGUGGGGCAUGGUGGUUCACACCAGCAAUUUAGGAAGCUGAGGGGGGUGGAUCACCUGAGGUCAGGAGUUCAAGAGCAGCUUGGCCAACAACAGUGAAACCCCGUCUCUACUAAAAAUAUAAAAAAAUUAGCCAGGCGUGGUGGUGUGCAUCUGUAAUCCCAGCUACUAGGGAGGCUGAGCCACGAGAAUCGCUUGAACCCAGGAGGCAGAGGUUGGAGUGAGUCAAAAUCAUGCCACUGCACUCCAGCCUGGGUGACCAACUGAGAUGCUGUCUCAAUAAAUAAAUAAAUAAAUAAAUAAGCCAAGUAAAAAUUACCAAGAGGUAACUGAUACCAAAAAAUCCAUUGGUAGGCCACAGGCCUUGGCUGGGUAGAAGAUGUCAGUUCUUCUCUCCUUCUGUCUCAGGUGUUUAUUUCCAGUGAGUAUUGCAGCGAUCAUCAUCUGGCUUGCCUUGCAUGGCAGUACAUUGGGGAAUAUGUGUUCUUUUUUGUGCUGUUUGAACAUCAUUUGGUAUUCCUUCCUUUUUGACUUCCUCCAUUGCACAGAAUGACCUGAUUAUCUUUUGCCAUCAUAACUUCCUUUUCCUUUGUCUAAUUGUUCAUAUACUCACCUAUAAUAACUUCCUUUAAAAUGGAAGGCAAAUUUUUCCUCUCACUGUCGUUGGAUGGAAUGGAUUUAACUAUGUGUUUUAAUUCCAAUCUGUAAAAUGCCUUCAUGCAUAUAGUAGGAGCUCAAUAAAGGUUCAGUGAAAAUGCCUUCUGAAAAGAUGUUUAUUAUUCUUUGGCUCCAGUCUUCUUAUUUGUAAAACCAAAGCCUAGAUCAGUGUUUCUCAGCUUCUUGACCUCAGCUCACAAGUGGCUUCCUAGAGAGCAUGUCUUCUGGUUAGGGAUAAUUUUCUUCCCUGGCUCUAGUGCAAUGUCAUCCCUUUCUGUAGGUUGAGAAAGCCCAUAAAAUACUUUCUAAAAGUAUGUGUAUCUCCUCACACAGUUCUCACUCACACCUCGUUUGACAGUGAGACUCAUGAUACUAGAUCUAGAUGACCUUCAAAUUCCCAUUUGGUUUUGAUACUCUGCAAUUCAGUGGUACUAUUCUCCAGUCACCUCCUUGAGGAAAUCAGGUCUGAGCAAAUUGGCUUGGCAUAUCUUUUAGGAGCUCCCAAAUAGCACAUGCUUACUGUUAUUGUUACCUUGCCACAUUUUACUGAUUUUAUUCAUCUGUCCUCCUUCAGUAGACUUGCACUCUUUGAGGAUGGGUCUGUUUCUAAUGUAGAGUUGUUUGCAUGUGGCCUAGCAUGGGAUAACAGCAAAUCUUCAAUAAGUGUUUGGUGAACAUAACAGUUGAUUAUGUUGAUGUAAUAUGCCGUCCAGAUUAUAGCUUUAUUAGUGCAUUUAAAGCCGAUGCAUGUAGGGAGCCCUUACAAACUCUUUACAAAUGCGCAUGUUAUAUCUCCUAAAACAUAUUUAAGUUUCAUGAGGACCAAGAAGGGUGAAGAGACCAACUGGGAUGUUGAGAGUGGGUAUGCUAGAAUAGCCUGAUUUGGGAAUUUGUUUGUUUUCUUAUUUGUGUAACAUCCUCUCCAUGCCAAAUGUGAUUGCCUUGCUUAAGAUGGUGUAAUAUUAACAUCAUUGCUUUACAAAUGCUAAAUCAAUUGUUUAUCUAUGGUACUGUUAAUGGGAUGGCUACUUUAUCCCUUUCUUUUAAAGGCCACAGAACGGAGCCAAAUUCUGACACCUCCAUUUCCUCCUGUGAUGUUACAGAGCCUGAUUUCAGUUUCAUAAAAAUAAAUAAAAAUAAAAUAUGUGCGCUAAUAUGAAAUGUCAGCUAAAAUCAAUAGUAAUCUAUUUCUCUUGCAGCGUGAGCGGGACCCAAACAAUCAAUUAGCAGUAAGCUUGUCAAAAUGCAUGGGGCAGAGGUUGCUAGAUGCUUCAUCACAAUUUUAUUUGCCCAGAGCAUUUGAAUAAAUGAAGUGAAAUGUUUCCGCAAGUCUCUGAAUCUUUGAUAGAUAAUUUUUGGA
rnacentral:lncRNA from 10 species